CAGCCGCCGCGGUAAUACGAAGGGUGCAAGCGUUAAUCGGAAUUACUGGGCGUAAAGCGUGCGUAGGCGGUGAGUUAAGUCUGCUGUGAAAUCCCCGGGCUCAACCUGGGAAUGGCAGUGGAUACUGGCUCGCUAGAGUGUGUCAGAGGAUGGUGGAAUUCCCGGUGUAGCGGUGAAAUGCGUAGAGAUCGGGAGGAACAUCAGUGGCGAAGGCGACUAUCUGGGCCAACACUGACACUGAGGCACGAAAGCGUGGGGAGCAAACAGGAUUAGAUACCCCUGUAGUCCCUGUCUCUUAUAC
rnacentral:rRNA from 1 species